rnacentral:miRNA from 1 species
AUUUGAUUGAGUAGGUCUGACAUGGGGUCUGAGAAUUUGCAUUUCUAACAAGUUCCCAGAUGAUGCUGAUGCUGCUGGUUCAGGGACCAUCCUCGAGA